rnacentral:misc_RNA from 1 species
CUGAGAGCUGGGUACUGGCCCAGUUUGGAGACGGAACUGGUCUAAACUCCUGUGCUGAUUCAUUGGUGCCAUAGUGGCUGUGAAUACUGAAUUGCCACUGCCCCCCAGCCUGGGUAACAUAGCAAGAUGCCAUCUCU